UAGGGAAUCUUCCACAAUGGACGCAAGUCUGAUGGAGCAACGCCGCGUGAGUGAAGAAGGUUUUCGGACCGUAAAGCUCUGUUGUUGGUGAAGAAGGAUAGAGGUAGUAACUGGCCUUUAUUUGACGGUAAUCAACCAGAAAGUCACGGCUAACUACGUGCCAGCAGCCGCGGUAAUACGUAGUGGCAAGCGUUGUCCGGAUUUAUUGGGCGUAAAGCGAGCGCAGGCGGAAGAAUAAGUCUGAUGUGAAAGCCCUCGGCUUAACCGAGGAAUUGCAUCGGAAACUGUUUUCUUGAGUGCAGAAGAGGAGAGUAGAACUCCAUGUGUAGCGGUGGAAUGCGUAGAUAUAUGGAAGAAAUACCAGUGGCGAAGGCGGCUCUCUGGUCUGCAAACUGACGCUGAGGCUCGAAAAGCAUGGGUAGCGAACAGGAUUAGAUACCCUGGUAGUCCAUGCCGUAAAACGAUGAGUGCUAAGUGUUGGGAGGCUUCCGCCUCUCAGUGCUGCAGCUAACGCAUUAAGCACUCCGCCUGGGGAGUACGACCGCAAGGUUG
rnacentral:rRNA from 1 species